UAUGAAAACACAAUGCACCAGCUCUUCACCUUGUUCAAGCUGAGAGUUAGAAGUUAAAUCUCCAAAUCUGUUUUUUUUUUCUAUAAUAUAAUUUUACAUCAGUGAUUCAGUAUAAACUUUACUAGCUGAGAUAAUACUAGGGGACACAAAAAUAUAUCAGAUUACAUGAAUUCAGAGUCAGCUUAGUUGCUGAAACAUGUACACUUGUAAGUACUCUGACUAAUCAGAAGAUUGAUACUUCGAGCAUUAUAUUAGUUAGUUUGCUGGUUCGGACAUGUUUGAGAUUAAACCGGUUUGACUGAUUAAUCAGUCCGAUUUGGGUAAAUAAUGGUUUAGCGAUUUUGAUCUGCUGGCUAUUUUUUUGCUGCUCUGGUUCACCGGUUUUGUCUCUUCUACUUCUUCUACCCGCUUCUUGUCUGGUUUUGCAAUCUUCGGUGUCUGCUCUCUUUCAAAAGGAAUCUCUUUCUCAACCGAUAUCCUCUCAAUAUUAUCUCUGUUACCGGACAUAAGGAGUAGUUGUUUACAUGAUGCUACUUGGACAACAGAGAAUGCUUGAAUGAAACUCUGAGAAUGAAGUUUUGGGGAGGCUUCUUAGUCAUCGUUGGUUCCAUUUCCUUUGUUGGAUUUGUUUUUGUAGCUUUAAUCUCCAAAUUGUUUCCACUCUCUGAGGAUCCCAUUAUCCAAGCUAUUCAGAAUGAUAGGUACUACUGCUUCUUGGCUCCAUUGACUUUACCAGCUCUACUGGUUGCUGUUUACUUUCAUUGGCUUAGCAUGAAGCUCUUCAAGCACGCAUGAUACACGUAGCAACAUCUUACUCCCAAGGUAGGAUUCAGAGUUCCAAUCUACCUUACUGGCUUAUUAGGUUGAAAUGCCACUGUAGUUAAAUCAUAUGCUAAUACAGAGAACUAGUUUCUUUGGGGAUGAUUAUUAGUUUAUUUUACCUUGUAAUUGCCGCUGAAUUUGGUAGAGAUCAAUAUCUUUUGUUAAUAAAGCUGUCAUCAAACUUAACCAGAUUUCCUAACAUUUGUCUUUUAGAGACAUGAAAUCUGGAUUUUCUGGUGAUUGUGUAGAAUGGUUAUAAGCACGGUUGGAUUACUACA